UACGUAGGGGGCGAGCGUUGUCCAGAGUUACUGGGCGUAAAGCGCACGCAGGCGGUCUGCUAAGUUUGGAGUGACAGUUGGUGGCUUAACUGCCAAAGUGCUUCGAAAACUGACAGACUUGAGGGCUUCAGAGGGACACGGAAUUCCGGGUGGAGUGGUGAAAUGCGUAGAGAUCCGGAGGAACACCAAAGGCGAAGGCAGUGUCCUGGGGAGUACCUGACGCUCAGGUGCGAAAGCCAGGGGAGCGAAACGGGG
rnacentral:rRNA from 1 species